GAUGAACGCUAGCGGCAGGCUUAACACAUGCAAGUCGAGGGGUAUAGUUCUUCGGAAUUAGAGACCGGCGCACGGGUGCGUAACGCGUAUGCAAUCUACCUUUCACAGAGGGAUAGCCCCAGAGAAAUUUGGAUUAAUACCUCAUAGUAUAGCAGUUUCGCAUGAAACCACUAUUAAAGUCACAACGGUGAAAGAUGAGCAUGCGUCCCAUUAGCUAGUUGGUAAGGUAACGGCUUACUAAGGCAACGAUGGGUAGGGGUCCUGAGAGGGAGAUCCCCCACACUGGUACUGAGACACGGACCAGACUCCUACGGGAGGCAGCAGUGAGGAAUAUUGGACAAUGGGCGCAAGCCUGAUCCAGCCAUGCCGCGUGCAGGAUGACGGUCCUAUGGAUUGUAAACUGCUUUUAUACAGGAAGAACACUACUUCGUGAAGUAGCUUGACGGUACUGUAAGAAUAAGGAUCGGCUAACUCCGUGCCAGCAGCCG
rnacentral:rRNA from 1 species